GCGCUCUUAGUGUAACUGGAUAGCACAUGAGAUUUCGGUCCUCAUUAUCAGGGUUCGAGUCCCUGGGAGCGCA
rfam:Lactobacillus coleohominis DSM 14060 Scaffold473, whole genome shotgun sequence.